CCUACGGGUGGCUGCAGUGGGGAAUAUUGGACAAUGGGGGGAACCCUGAUCCAGCCAUGCCGCGUGUGUGAAGAAGGCCCUCGGGUUGUAAAGCACUUUCAGUGAGGAAGAACGCCUGGUGGUUAAUACCCAUCAGGAAAGACAUCACUCACAGAAGAAGCACCGGCUAACUCCGUGCCAGCAGCCGCGGUAAUACGGAGGGUGCGAGCGUUAAUCGGAAUUACUGGGCGUAAAGCGCGCGUAGGUGGCUUGAUAAGCCGGUUGUGAAAGCCCCGGGCUCAACCUGGGAACGGCAUCCGGAACUGUCAAGCUAGAGUGCAGGAGAGGAAGGUAGAAUUCCCGGUGUAGCGGUGAAAUGCGUAGAGAUCGUGAGGAAUACCAGUGGCGAAGGCGGCCUUCUGGACUGACACUGACACUGAGGUGCGAAAGCGUGGGUAGCAAACAGGAUUAGAUACCCUUGUAGUC
rnacentral:rRNA from 1 species